rnacentral:rRNA from 1 species
UACGUAGGGGGCAAGCGUUAUCCGGAAUUACUGGGUGUAAAGGGAGCGUAGACGGUAAUGUAAGUCUGGAGUGAAAAGCGGGGGCCCAACCCCCGGACUGCUCUGGAAACUAUGUUACUAGAGUGCAGGAGAGGUAAGCGGAAUUCCUAGUGUAGCGGUGAAAUGCGUAGAUAUUAGGAGGAACACCAGUGGCGAAGGCGGCUUACUGGACUGUAACUGACGUUGAGGCUCGAAAGCGUGGGGAGCAAACAGG